rnacentral:rRNA from 1 species
AACGAACGCUGUCGGCAGGCUUAACACAUGCAAUUCGAGCGCCCCGCAAGGGGAGCGGCCGACGGGUGAGUACCGCGUGGGAACGUACCUUUUGGUUCGGAACAACUCCGGGAAACUGGAGCUAAUACCGGAUAAGCCCUAACGGGGAAAGAUUUAUCGCCGAAAGAUCGGCCCGCGUCUGAUUAGCUAGUUGGUGAGUUAACGGCUCACCAAGGCGACGAUCAGUAGCUGGUCUGAGAGGAUGAUCAGCCACACUGGGACUGAGACACGGCCCAGACUCCUACGGGAGGCAGCAGUGGGGAAUAUUGGACAAUGGGCGCAAGCAUGAUCCAGCCAUGCCGCGUGAGUGAUGAAGGCAGUAGGGUUGUAAAGAUCUUUUGUCCGGGAAGAUAAUGACGGUACCGGAAGAAUAAGCCCCGGCUAACUUCGUG